UACGUAGGGAGCAAGCGUUGUUCGGAAUUACCGGGCGUAAAGGGCGCGUAGGCGGUCUUGUAAGUCUUGUGUGAAAUCCCUCGGCUUAACUGAGGAACUGCACGGGAUACUGCGAGACUUGAGAUCGGGAGAGGGAAGCGGAAUUCCGGGUGUAGCGGUGAAAUGCGUAGAUAUCCGGAGGAACACCGGUGGCGAAGGCGGCUUCCUGGACCGAUACUGACGCUGAGGCGCGAAAGCUAGGGGAGCAAACGGG
rnacentral:rRNA from 1 species